UUCGGCAAUGGACGAAAGUCUGACCGAGCAACGCCGCGUGAGUGAAGAAGGUUUUCGGAUCGUAAAGCUCUGUUGUAAGUCAAGAACGUGUGUGAGAGUGGAAAGUUCACACAGUGACGGUAGCUUACCAGAAAGGGACGGCUAACUACGUGCCAGCAGCCGCGGUAAUACGUAGGUCCCGAGCGUUGUCCGGAUUUAUUGGGCGUAAAGGGAGCGCAGGCGGUCAGGAAAGUCUGGAGUAAAAGGCUAUGGCUCAACCAUAGUGUGCUCUGGAAACUGUCUGACUUGAGUGCAGAAGGGGAGAGUGGAAUUCCAUGUGUAGCGGUGAAAUGCGUAGAUAUAUGGAGGAACACCAGUGGCGAAAGCGGCUCUCUGGUCUGUCACUGACGCUGAGGCUCGAAAGCGUGGGUAGCGAACAGGAUUAGAUACCCUGGUAGUCCACGCCGUAAACGAUGAGUGCUAGGUGUUAGGCCCUUUCCGGGGCUUAGUGCCGGAGCUAACGCAAUAAGCACUCCGCCUGGGGAGUACGACCGCAAGGUUGAAACUCAAAGGAAUUGACGGGG
rnacentral:rRNA from 1 species